GUGAGAGAGGGUAAGCAAAAGUUACAAAGCAAAGACUAUGUCUUGUACAUUUAGCAGGGUGGGAAAGGCAAGGAGCAGAGCAUUUGCAUAGGCUUGAUGUUUUGUAAUGGCGCUGGUUGUGGGAAGAAAGCAAUAUGCAAUAGGUUGGGGGCAGAUUAUGUAAGGUCUUGAAUGUGAAGCUAAGGCAUUAAUCUUGUAGGAAGAGACAUCGAACAUUACUGAAGGGAGUUAGAAAAAUCGCAAGAACUAGUAACAGAAUCGCAUCUAAUUCUGACUUGCCUAACAGGGCAUGAAGUGCACAAAGCUAAGGUUUAGUACGGUGCCUUUCAUAUCAUUUUGGUCAGAAGCCACAGUAAGAAUACAUCCUAUGCCGAAACCCAGUAUACAGUACUGAUGCACACAUACACACACAACUGAAACUUAAGAUAAACAAGACUUUGCCUUAUCAUGUGUGCAACAUUAUUUUCUACUCCACUCCACUCCACCUGCUUCUGCUUCUGCUUUACUUCACUUGAUUGUACUUCAUGCUUGUGUAUACUCAUUAUUUUUUUGUAUCUACAAAGGAAUGGCCAAAAGUUUGAAAAAUAGUGUUUUACAAAGAUAAAUUAGUGAGGAAAGUGAACUGCAGGGUACAAAAUAGGGGUAGGAUGGUACUUAUUAGGUGAUAGCAUUGUUCAUUUACUAAUAAACUCCUUAAUUCUUUCCUUCAACCAAAUUUGAUGAAGUAUGUAUUACGUACCAGGCAUGGAGAUACAAAGAUUCCCAAGAUUCAGUCAUGCCCUCGGAAGGCUUGUGGCUAGUGGUAGAGACAGGUAGCCAAUUCAGUGUGGCAAGUGCUUUAAUAGAGAUUUGAGAAAAAGUUCCCAGUACAGAUCUCGCAACCUCAGGAAAAUGUUGUUGUUAGGCGCCAUCCAGUCAGGUCCUACUUAUAGCAACGCUAUGUACAACUGUAUGAAACACUGCCUGGUCCUGCCUUGUCCUCACAAAUGUUGUGUUUGAGACCGUUGUUGCUGCCACAGUGUCAAUCCGCUUCAUCGAGUGUCUUCCUCUUUUUCACUGACCCUCUAUUUUACCAGGUUCAAGUAAUCAAAAGUUUCAUUUUACUUUGAUCCACAAUUAACACCAAUGGAAACAGUAGUCUGGAAAACAAAUGAUGCAUUGCCCUGGGCAAGCCUGCUGCAGGAGACCUCUUUAAAGUGUUAAAAAGCAAAGAUGUCACCUUGAAGACUAAGGUAGAGGGUCAGUGAAAAAGAGGAAGACUCUCAACAACAUGGAUUGACACAUUGGCUGCAACAACGGGCUUGAGCAUAACAAUGAUUAUGAGAAUGGCGAGGGACAGGGCAGUAUCUCAUGCUGUUGUACAUAGAGUCCUUAUGACUCAGUGGCACCUAACAACAACAACAACAACAACAACUCUACCAAGCAUGAUAUCCUUUUCCAGAAUCUGAUCCCUCCAAAGUAUGUGAGAUGAAAUUUUGCCAUCCCGGCAUCCUAGGAGCUUUCUGAUUGUAUUUCUUUCAAGACAGACUUGUUCAUUCUUCUGGAAGGCCAUGGUAUAUAGUCAGCGCUCUUCACCAACACCGUAAUUCAAAGGCAUCAAUUCUUCUUUGAUCUUCUUUAUUCCUUGUCCAGCUUUCACAGGCAGGUGCGUCUAUUGAAAAUACCGUGGCUUAGGUCAGACGCACUUCAGUUUUCAAAGUGACAUCUUUGCUUUUUAACAGUUUCAAGAAUACUUUUGCAGCAGAUUUACCCAAUGCAAUAUGUUCUUUGAUUUCCUAACUGCUGCUUCCAUGGUUGUUUAUUGAGGAUCCAAAUAAAAUGAAAUCCUUGACAACUUCAAUAUUUUCUCCAUUUGUGAUGAUAUUGCAUAUUGGUCCAGUUGUGAGGAGUUCCAUUUUUUUCAUGUUGAAGUGCAAUCCAUACCGAAGGCUGUGGUCUUUGAUCUUCAUCAGUAAGUGCUUCAAGUCCUCUUCACUUUCGGCAAGCAAGGCUGUGUCAUCUGUGUAAUGCAGGUUGUUCAGGAGUCUUCCUCCGAUGCUGAUACCAUAUUUUUCUUCAUAUAGUUCAGCUUCUCGGGUUAUAUAGAUUGAUUGAGUAUGAUGAAAGGCUACAACGCAGAUUCGCACAAUAAUGAAACACUGCCCUGUCCUGCAUCACCCUCAGAAUCCUUGCAUGCUUGAGCCCACGUUUGCAGGCACUGUAUCAGUCCAUCUCAUUGAGGAUCUUCCUCUCUUUGUUUCUUAUGUCUCAUUAAUUCUCAGGUCAAUUAAUCUGACGUUGACUGUGGGACAAAGUAGAAGUCAACCUCUGAGUAGAAUAUUUACAUUUGUAAGCCCCCUGCAAGUCUAUUUAUCAUUUUUUUUGCAUGUUAAAAUUUUUUUGAUGGUAUUGCUUUUUAGUAUUAAGGGUUCUAAGUACUGGUAAAAAAAUGAUGUUUGAAGUUUUGUAUAAUUCCAUUGUCACAUGUAUUUUAUUGCUACGGUAACUCUAGAGUGCAGACUUAUUUUUUAUUGUAGUAGCAUUGUGUGUAGAAAUGGAGGGAACGUGCUGAACGAAAUGAGAAUUCAGAAACGAAUAAUCCAUAGAAGUGAUAUCAAACUUUGCCAUGAAGCUGGGGUUUCAAUAAGUUAUGUAACAGAAAAAGUAAAAAAGGAAUCUAUAUCCACACUCCCUUUCCCUCGUGCAAUCAUUCUCACAGUGGCUGCAUUUCUUCCCAGCCAAAUCCUAUACUUCUGUGCUUUUUUGUACAGAUGGUGGAGAUGCUGAGCAAUCAGCAGGGAAGCCUAUAUUAUAUGGAAAAUGGGAAGAAUAAUUAAGAGAGAGUAUAAAAGAGUCAGAGAAGAGAGAAUGAAUCUGGGUUUGGAAGAGACUAUUUGGAGUUGGAAGUCAAGAUAAGAUGGAAGCUUCUGGUAGCAGCUUUGGUACAUGAGGAUUUCGAGAAGGCUGAAGGCUGUUCAGCUCUCAGGAUUCUGCUCUGGUUCAACCUUAGCACCUCCUCUUAUUUGUCAAGCACUGACUACAGGAGGCAGCGCUGCUGAGUGAGGAAGGCCCUGACUUGGAAUCAGACAAGGUGGGAAUUUCUAUGUCGUGUGCCACAGAGACUCCCAGCAAG